UUAACCAUCAAAAUCAAUAAUACUGUAAGAGUCGUCUUCAUUUUAAUUUAAAUUGUCACAUAUACUACACCCACUUUCACCGUAGAAAUAGCUUCUAAGAAGCAGCCACUCCUUCAUCUGCAACAUAUCACCAACAUUUACCUUCCUCCUCUCAUUCCAUCUUAAAUUCAUCACCACUACUACAUUCACCCUCCUCGUCUCAUUCCAUCUUCAACAUUCAUCACCACUACUGCCAUUAUCACCACUCCCACAAGUUUUAAAAAAUUCACAUUUUAUCGCCUCUCAUCCAUAUUGUUUUGAAGGUAAGGGUUAAAGUUUAUUUUAUUGAUUUAAGUAUUUAGUUAUGUUUAAUUUUUAGGAUUUUUUCAAAUAUUAUUUUAUUUUAUGCUGUUUUGAUUUGUUAAUUCAUAUUUUUGAGAUGUUUUUUUUUUAUUGUUAAUUCAAGGAUCCAAUAUUUAUAACUUGAUUUUUACUUUAUUUCUUUUAUGUUCUCUCAUCUCUCAUUUUUUAAGGUAUUACAGGUUAGUGUUCCAAGUGCAGAAACAAACAUUAAAUAAACUUGUAAUGAGGUAGUACUUUGCAAGGUGUUAUGACUUGGUUUGGGCUAUUGUAUUUUGACUAUAUUUUUAUCAAUUCUAAAUAUGUGUCUUCAUAUAUGUAGGGAUGAAACAAAUAUGGAGUCUAGAGACAUUACACUGUCACAACUUCAGUACUUUAGAUGUAACAAUUACAUGGAUGACAAUAUAUUUUAAUGUUUUAGUUUUGUUUUAA